rnacentral:rRNA from 1 species
UACGUAGGGAGCAAGCGUUGUCCGGAAUCAUUGGGCGUAAAGGGCGCGUAGGCGGCCUGCUAAGUCGGAUGUGAAAUCCCUCGGCUCAACCGAGGAACUGCAUCCGAUACUGGCGGGCUUGAAUCCGGGAGAGGGAUGUGGAAUUCCAGGUGUAGCGGUGAAAUGCGUAGAUAUCUGGAGGAACACCGGUGGCGAAGGCGGCAUCCUGGACCGGUAUUGACGCUGAGGCGCGAAAGCUAGGGGAGCAAACGGG